rnacentral:misc_RNA from 1 species
UCCGGUUUGACACCGGCAGUCUCGCUAGAGUCCUCAGCGUCCGAAGACCUGUUAGCAACUAACGAUAGGGGUUUCGCUCGUUAAGGGACUUAACCCGACACUUCACAGCACGAGCUGACGACAGCCAUGCAGCACCUGUGUAUGUUCCACUACAAGAGUGUCACUCCGCUUUCACGGAGCUAAUCCAUACAUGUCAAGCCCAGGAUAAGGUUCUUCGCGUUGCUUCGAAUUAAGCCACAUGCUCCACCGCUUGUGUGAGCCCCCGUCAAUUCCUUUGAGUUUUAGCCUUGCGACCGUACUCCCCAGGCGGUGUACUAAAUACUUUUGCUUCGGUCGUGAUGGCGUCAGAGCCUCCACGGCCUAGUACACAUCGUUUAGGGCGUGGACUAC